GCAAAGUUUAUUCAUUUAGAAAAUUUGCUCAUUUUCACUGUUCGUGGGGGCGAGUUAUUGUUGCUGCCUUGCUGGACUCCAGGACUCUCCAUCCAAAGGGGGUUAAUGUGGACAGGAAAAACGCGCACAAAGCAGAAGAGCAGGACGGCUCGAAUGCCUGGAAUGGCUGGCCAGGACUCGAGAUGAGAGAAAAAAGAUGAACAAAAGCUGCUGAUGAUGGCUUCUUUUUGGUUGGGUGUUCCUUGGCCCCAAAUCCGGCUCAUUAAGCCUUGGGUGGUGGUCAUCGCGGGUGUUGGAUUCUGCGGUACGACAGGGUGCGGGUGGAGUCGGGGUGGAUGGCCAAAAUCUGGACACUUGGGCCGAGUUUUUCGUGUCUUUCUAUUUUCUUCUCUUUUGGGCCAUUAGCUGAGAUGCGAUGGACGAGCAAAUUAUUCCCCAAAUACCCGGGGGUAAUUAUAAAUGUCAUUCCACGCUCGGCUUACGAAACGGACACAGACAAGGACGAAGGACGUGGACCGACAGGACAAUAGAGAGAGAGAGGGAGAAGGGACUAGAGACAAAGACGGGUGCAGGACAUCAGAUCAGGCCCCGUCAGGCGGACGCCGUGUUUGUCUAUCAUAAUGAGUGGCAGUCGGACAUUUGGACAUAAUUGUUCAAUUAUUUUGUUACUUAUGGCCUGCCAGCACCACUGCCCCACCACAGCCACACCACCACCCACAAAUACAAGCGCUAUACUAUUUUUUCUCAGUGUAGUAUUUCGUUAAUUUUCUUGUUCUGUCAUUUGCCAUACAUUUCGGAUAUUUGUCAAUUAGAUAUUUGCGCUAAAUCUCGGACUCCACACGGAUCUCAAACAUAUAUGUGUUUGUGUGUGUGGAUGAGUGCCACGCCCUCACCACUUACCGCCCACGGCCUCACCGCAUGACAGGAAGUCAACUGGAGACACCCGCAAAUGGAACACGCGACCGUCGAAUGUCAAAUUCAAUUACAAAAGCCAGGUCUAAGGGGAAUUACUGAGGGGGCGGCAGGACGACAGGGUGGCGGGGCGUGGCCGAGCCUCAGGUGUGCUUUGCCAUUCAAUUAUAAAUUUUCAAUAAAAAUUUGUGCCACUUGGUUCGUUCUCUCUGCUCCUCUCCUCAUCCAAGUCGAAAGACGAAGUCCUUUAUUGUUUUUGACAUUCGCUGCAAAUAAAACGAAAAGAGGGCGAUCUCCACCCACUUGAUUCGCCCAUUUUGCAGAAUAUUGCAUAAUGGAACCCCAUGACGUA
rnacentral:sRNA from 1 species